AGCUUGAUGUUUCGGAAACACAAGACCUUGAACGUCCUCAAAGAUGUUCAACUCAUCUUCAA
rnacentral:tRNA from 1 species